UCUGCAUAUGAGAUACAGAAAGCUAAAUUUAUGUGUACUUCCAGGAGACAGCAGGUUAUCACAACACUCUACUACUAGGAAGUAGAUUCAUCAAGGGAAACAUAGUGAUACUGUAUCAAUUCACAAAUAAAGCUAUAAAUUUUA